UACAGAGGGUGCGAGCGUUGUCCGGAAUCACUGGGCGUAAAGGGCGCGUAGGUGGCUUGGUAAGCGUGUGGUGAAAGCUCGGGGCUCAACCCCGAGUCUGCCGUGCGAACUGCCGAGCUCGAGCAAAGUAGAGGCAGGUGGAAUUUCGGGUGUAGCGGUGGAAUGCGUAGAGAUCCGAAAGAACACCAGUGGCGAAGGCGGCCUGCUGGGCUUUUGCUGACACUGGGGCGCGACAGCGUGGGGAGCAAACAGG
rnacentral:rRNA from 1 species